CAUGAAGCUAGAGUGGGCAUGGCCUGCGCAUGACGUAUCCAGCCUACAGGCCGCCAGUUUGACACCUCUGAUUUUACUGGGACUGUCAGCAAGCAAUGCAAAGAUUUGUGGCUAAGUGGUUUAGGCAUUUUGAGUGAAAGGACCAGCUUGUACUGUAUGUUUAAAAAAUAGUAAAAUGACAAGACUCCCCAGUACACAAUAAAGGCAAUCUUUGUCUUUAAUAACACACAAAUAAUGAAAGCAUUCAAUGAAAAUCUGGCAAUGUAAAACAUAAAAAUGAAGCCAGUUUAUUAAAUACUGUUCCGCUUGCUUCACUGCAGGUCUCUGUUCAGUGCAUUGGAAUGACAUCCCAAAGAGAAUAGUUGCAAAGAUAUAGUUCUACAAAUACAGGGAUAUUUGUGGAACAAGAAUUGAUUAAAAGGAAUUCACAUAUUACACUAAACAAGCCAUGGUUUAUUGGAAACAAAUGGCUAGGUUCUAACAGCAUGCCCUAAGACAUGAUUUACAAUAGAUAAUGCCUGUACUAACGUAAGCCAAAACCAAACAAACCACAUUCUGUCUUAGCACAAUAUGUUAACACAGCCUUAAAAUUAUGCUUGACUCAACUUGUUUGAGCAAAUAGGCUGUUCAACAAUACACAGAAAAGAAAGGUUUUACAUAAAACUUACGUUGAAGGAAGUUAUACAUUAAACCUGGACUAAAUCCACAAGUCUUACUGAGAGCACAGGACUAUCUUGGACACCUUCCCUUUUGUCCAGAUUAUCCCUUCUUUCUCCUUACCCUCACUGGGCAACUCUGUUACAUUCAUCUUUCUAACUGUCAAAAGACAAAUAAAUCAAGGCAGAAACAUGCCACUUGAUUCUGUACCUUUCCACUUCUAAUUACAGAUGACAUUUACUUGAUAAAGGCCAAUUCAAAAUAAGUUGUCUAUGUUGCAAAACAACAUUUAAUCUUGAAUAUUUUCACAUACACUGACAUCAUCAUGUGUAUGUAGGAGACACAAUAAGGACUCUGAGAGGAAAAAAUAAAAUGUGCUUGCCUACUUCUCUGCCAACAAUAUUAUUUUACCUUUUCAUACAAAAGCCUAUUUGGAACAUUUCCAUUUGGAAACAUCACUAUAAGCUUAAUCUUCCCUUUUUUAAAUCAUACCAGCUGCCUCGAUCUUCCUUAAGUCUAUUUUUCCAAGAUGAUCAAUAUACAACAAUAUUAACUACCUCCCUCUUUGUCCUAUAUCCUAUUUCCAAAUAGAACAUAUGGAGCAUACUCCUGUGAUCAAUGUUUAACCUGAAAAAUAACUUUCUAAUGUUAAACACUUGCUUUCUAAUGUCAAGGGGGUUAGGAUGACAGUACUGGAGAUUACUCAGGGAUGACAUUAAAAACACUCUGCCUGGGCCUUAGGUACUUUAUUCUAUGAGAAAUGCACAAAUUUGAAGUGACCCUGGCUAAACCUUGCUGCCAACUUCUCUUAGAACUGUGCUGCUUCAUGAUUCUCCUAAACCACCCUAGGAAAAUCACACCCACAACUACAACACACCUCCCACAAUUAAUCCUGGGUCUGUUUUCCCACGCAGGCAUGUUGACUUCUAUCAUUCUCAAACUAAGUUGUAGCAUUCCUCCAGCCAUGUAUAAAAAUUGCCACCUGUGAGGUGACACUCAGGAGAUGCCUUUGACAAUUGGGCACACAUGCCACCCAAGAGGAAUUCUUUUCUUUCUUUUAACCACUGACCUAGUCCCUAUGGACCAGGCGGCCCGUAUUCCACCAAACCCAGUUUACCAGGUCUAUAUGGCUCAUCCUCUAGGCGAGAUGCCCUCUUUUUCCUCAAAUUCCGGAGUCCAGUGUGAACGCCACGUAGUGGUCAUUUCGAUUUCCUUCGGCGCCGGAGAGUUAAAGAUCAAGAUUGUAUUUGCUUCUAGCUUCGCCGGCCCCGCACCGCCUCUAGGCCCUUGAAAACCUCGGCGUCCAUGCCAGCCUCCGGUGCCCACAAUGGAAUCCGAUACGCGCAGCUUUAGAGAAGCUUUUUUUCCCCCUCCCCCAGCUCCACCCUCACCUGAGCUUCCACCUUUCCCAGAGGGCUACCCGAUCCGGCUGCGAAUAAUGAAUCCCGAGGAUCACGUACAAGGCCAUCUUUCUGGUGGGGUACACAAGAAUAAGUCCAUGGAGUAAAAGUAGUCCUGAACUUAUAACCAUUCAUUUGGUGACUGAAGUUACACGGAAAUUGCAAAAAGUGACUUAUGACUGGUCCUUACACAAACAUCACAGUCUCCUCACAAUGGUGAUUAAAAUUAAGGUACUUGGCAACAGCUGAGUUUCAUGCUCCGCCUGCUAUACUCACUGGAGCUGCCUGAGUUGAUUAGCUGCAUGUUUGAAGCUCUGUUUCAGCUCUGAAGAGGCGCCUGCGAAUGAAGUAUGUGCGCAUGCGCAUGCUCACAACCAUCAAACCAGUUGUUAAGAUAAUUGUCUAGACCAAGAACCACAACUUCUCUGAACCUUUUCACCUGUAUUUUGUUCGACAGAAGACCCUUUUGAAUUGUUUGAGAGGAGCAGUCUUGGAUUAUGCUUCUACACCUAGUAAAAGUAAAAUUUUGCCAAUAUUUAAGCCCUGCUACCUGUAACGGAUAAACACCAAUCCCCCACAGCAACUCUCUGCCUACUCACCUAAUGAGCCCAUCCAGAUUAGGUGACCUCCCUGUAGGACAUAUAUGGAAUCCCCCUAACCAAGUUGCUCAGACCAAAGAAGCUACUUGGAUAAGCAGCAAAAUGCUUCGAGCCAACAAGAAAAGCAAUGCAGUUGCCAUAACUCAGCUGCCAGACAACUCUACCAGGAUGAGUGAGAAUCUUCACUGGUAUGUUGCCACACAUUUUGGGGAAGAAACCCUGAGGCAGGUGCUGGAAUAUGAAAAGACAGCAAAAAUGUGGCAGACUACAGGAAUCACCUAUGCUUCAAGUGCAGACAACAGAGUCUCAUCCCAAUGAAACUAUGGCUGCAAUCCACGGUCAAGGAUUGGUUACAGAGAAGACAAGAUCCUACAGAAAGCAGAAGGACAUUUCCUUGAUGAAAGGAUAAGACAGGUCUACUUCACCUUUGACAUCUUGCAACACAAAUGCUCUUUUUGCAGCAACUGCUCACUGAUUGACAUUUCCAUUGAGAUAUGGCUUCAAAAUCCUCUUCCUGUUUUGUCACAGCCAGUAAAUAUCCCAUCAAUGUAUAGGUGAAGUUUCCUUCCUUUGUACCAACAUGGAUCUCUUUACAUUUGUUUACAAUGAACUACUUGCAUUUGUCAUUCUAAAGUCUGUGCAUCCAUUUUGGACAGAUUUUUUAGAAUGCCUUUGCAAUCCCUUUUAAUUUUACUACCCUGAAGAUAUAGUAACAUCAGCAAAAAUGACGAGGGGUGGCUCAUGAGGUGGAGUGGGGUGCCGAUCGGCAGGCUUGCAUUCGAGACCCAUUGCUGCCACGGGGUGGGCAGGGUGAGCUCCCUUUACACGUUACAGCUUCUGCUGAUCCAGCAGUCGAGGUGGGCGAACAAGAGUAGAUAGACAGGUACCACUUUGGGGACCAACUUUAUGAGGACACGAAAGGAGCCCCCAACUGGGUGUCCACUGGGCAACAGUGAAGUCACCGGCAAAUCCUUCCACCACUGAAGUGCUUCCAACAUAGAAAUAGUAGUAGUAGCAAAGAUGACCAAACGUGACAUUAUGAAAAAGUAUGGUAUGGUAUUUGAAUGUAUAUCAUUAAUUGGUCAGAAUUGUCUAAUUAGGUGCGUGAUUACAAUAUUUGUUAUCUUAGGAAUUCUAAUUAAGAGAGGAAGAAAUUGAUUCUGAUUUAUGAGAUUGUGUUGGUUCUAAUAAACCUGCAUUAUAAUCCUAA